rnacentral:rRNA from 1 species
GAUGAACGCUAGCGGCAGGCCUAAUACAUGCAAGUCGAACGAGAUUACGAGGCUUGCUUCUUAUGAAAGUGGCGCACGGGUGCGUAACUCGUAUGCAACCUACCUUAAUCAGGGGGAUAGCCCGAAGAAAUUCGGAUUAAGACCGCAUAAAAACACAGGAUAGCCUUAUCCUAUGUUCAAAUAUGUAUAUGAUUAAGAUGGGCAUGCGUGUCAUUAGCUAGUUGGCAAGGUUACGGCCCACAAAGGCGACGAUGAAUAGGGGACCUGAGAGGGUGACCCGCCAGACUGGAACUGAGACACGGUCCAGACUCCUACGGGAGGCAGCAGUAGGGCAUCUUCCGCAAUGCACGAAAGCCUGACGGAGCACCGCCGCGUGAGUGAUGAAGGCCUUCUGAUCGUAAAACGCUGGUAUUAGGGAAGAACAUAUGUGUAAGUAACUGUGAACAUCUUGACGGUACCGAAUCAGAAAGCCACGGCUAACUACGUG